UGACCAUCUCUAGUUAUAGUGAUGCCAUAUUAAAACCAUGUACUAUAGCCCGUGUUCAAACUAGAGGACAAUCCAUGCCCACCCAAAUAAAGGCCAUUAUUUAAAAGGGGACCCCUUGUCUAACAGAUUUGGUCAGUUCAGAUGUGAUCCAUUUGUGGGGGUUCAGAAGAUUAGCACCAUGUUGCAGUAUUGGUCUAUUCUAGCUUUUUGGUCAACAACUGGUUGCUAUUCAUCCUCAGGCCUCACUGUCAUAAGACAGAAUGCUUUACAGAUGUAUUUGUGGCUUAUAAAAAUAGUAAUAAAUGACACAUAACUGCCAGGGGAUAGAGGCAGAGGUGUAGAGGGCUCAGUGGAGCCAAGUUCUGAUCCAAAUGAUCCAAAUUAUGGAAAAACUCCUUAUCUGCAAAACCUCAGGUCCCGAUUCUUUUGGAUAAUCGGUCCCAUGCCUGUAUUAAAAUACGUAAUUGUUUUGAAAACAUGCCGUGACUUGUCUUAACAUGUGCAGUCCAAUACAAAAGGAUUUCCUAGACUAAAAGGCCCACCAAACAGAAUAUUUUAGAAGUUAAACAACAUAGGUGACACACUUUUACGCACCCACAGAAAAUAGGGAAUUAGAAUUAACCUGAACUGGUUAAUGAAAAGGUUUGCAUAGGCAUUUAAAAUGUAGCCACAAGGACUCUAGCAAGCAGCAGGUCAUGGCUAAUUUCUUGUAGCACAGAACCCCACGUGGUAUUUGUGAUACUCUUGCCUACAGUAUGAUGUCAGUAACUGUACAAUGAAGACAAUUCCGUUUUUCCUCACUGCAGCAUGAUCAUGUGGUUGGCAAACAGUGGCAUCAUCCUAUUUCAGUUUCUAAUUUCAACAUAACACCAGACCAAGACUUUUUAGAGCCCUGUGAUUGAACCUUUUUCGGUGUAGCCAAAGAUAUGGGAUACCAGGAGAUCCAAGGUUUUGCUGGCACUUGACUGUUCUGCUGGAAAAUCUGAGGCAACUCCACCCAAACCUCUUUUUUGCAUGAUAGAAGAAAUAUAAUUCUAAGCAACUUUCCACUGAGAAAACUUAACACCAAGGAAAUGCCAACAAUGAAUAAAACCAGCAUGGGCUGUUUGCUUUCAUGGUGAUCUCUGCCAGAUGCAAAACGGAUGAUGUUUGGAUCAACUUGUGCGCCUC